rnacentral:rRNA from 1 species
GAUGAACGCUGGCUACAGGCUUAACACAUGCAAGUCGAGGGGAAACGCCGGGGAAGCUUGCUUCCCCGGGCGUCGACCGGCGCACGGGUGAGUAACGCGUAUCCAACCUGCCUCUGACUGAGGGAUAACCCGUCGAAAGUCGGCCUAAUACCUCAUGGUAUCGUCUGCGGGCAUCCAACGACGAUUAAAGAUUUCAUCGGUCAGGGAUGGGGAUGCGUCUGAUUAGCUUGUUGGCGGGGUAACGGCCCACCAAGGCUACGAUCAGUAGGGGUUCUGAGAGGAAGGUCCCCCACAUUGGAACUGAGACACGGUCCAAACUCCUACGGGAGGCAGCAGUGAGGAAUAGUGGUCAAUGGGCGAGAGCCUGAACCAGCCAAGUAGCGUGCAGGAAGACGGCCCUAUGGGUUGUAAACUGCUUUUAUGCGGGGAUAAAGUGAGGGACGUGUCCCUCAUUGCAGGUACCGCAUGAAUAAGGACCGGCUAAUUCCGU